UUUACUAUUUUUAAAAAAUGCAAAACCAAAUCUGCACAUUUCUACCGGGAAUUUCAGAGAACAGGGGACAAAGUCAUUCAUUUCAGUAGCUUCCUGUGUGAUCUAGCUUUCCCAAUUUUUAUGGUAUCAACCUUACUGUAUGGUCUAGAUAUCCACCAAAUUUGAGCUCAGUUUGACAACGUUUACUAUUUUUCAAAAAUCAAUGUUUCCGAUUGCUCAAAACUGCCGAAUAUGGUAGACCGUGGUAAAAACGCCAUAUCUCCCAAACCACUUGGAGUUUCUGACUCUACGUUUUUUUGAAUGAAACUAGACUCAAAUACCUUUCUUUUGGUAUGAGUCUGGAGUCCAGAAGAUGUCGGAGUCAAAACGUGUUAAAUUUUGAAGUUGAGUCAGUGGGAAAACAGAACAUGAUUUGUUGAUGUUUGAUUGUAUUUUCUUAUGUGCCUUAUGUGUUUAUGUUGCUUAAGUGUUUUAAUGAGAUUAGACGAGUCUUAUAUGAGAGAUAAAUCGAGACUUAGAACCAUGAUUUUCUUGAAACCUAUCCUUGGACUUAAGGAUUUGAAAUGAGUGAAGAAGUUUAUGUAGAGUCGAUCAAGAGAUAGAAUAUAAGAUAGAGCAUGAGUUAAGGCAUGAGUUUUUGUCGUUGAGUUCUAAUCGAGAUUCAUUUUAUGACAUGAACCUUCGAUGAUGACGAUGAUCCCUGAAGACACGAGCAGAGCAAGGAAGUAAGUAACUCCGCUUUGACGGGAGUGUUUGAGUAAGGUCUUCAGGCUAAGCGAGGAGCGAGAUUGGUCUGGUGCUAGUGGGGGAAACGUUUCAAUCGAUGUAAUUAUGUUUUCGUAUUGCCUUCAUGUUAAUAGAGUCUUGAGGAUUGAGAUACUUUGUUUUCUUUUGAAAUCAAGCAAUUUACUCA